rnacentral:tRNA from 1 species
CCUGGUGGCUCAGACGGUAAGGCGUCUGCCUGCAAUGCAGGAAACCUGGGUUCAAUUCCUGGGUCAGGA